AGUGAACGCUGUCGGUAGGCCUAACACAUGCAAGUCGAACGGCAGCACAGUAAGAGCUUGCUCUUACGGGUGGCGAGUGGCGGACGGUUGAGGAAUACAUCGGAAUCUACUUUUUCUUGGGGGAUAACGUAGGGAAACUUACGCUAAUACCGCAUACGACCUACGGGUGAAAGCAGGGGAUCUUCGGACUUUGCGCGAUUGAUUGAGCCGAUGUCGGAUUAGCUAGUUGGCGGGGUAAAGGCCCACCAAGGCGACGAUCCGUAGCUGGUCUGAGAGGAUGAUCAGCCACACUGGAACUGUGACACGGUCCAGACUCCUGCGGGAGGCAGCAGUGGGGAAGAUUGACCAAUGGGCGCAAGCCUGAUACAGCCAUACCGCGUGGGUGAAGAAGGCCUUCGCGUUGUAAAGCACUUUUGUUGGGAAAGAAAAGCAGCAGGUUAAUACCUCGCUGUUCUGACGGUACCCAAAGAAUAAGCACCGGCUAACUUCGUG
rnacentral:rRNA from 1 species